rnacentral:rRNA from 1 species
CUGAAGCACAACGCCGCGUGGAGGAAGAAUGGCUUUUGCUUGUAAACUCCUGUAUGAGGGGAAAAAAUCUCGCCUUUGGCGAGGAUGAUGGUACCCUCGGAGUAAGCCCCGGCUAACUACGUGCCAGCAGCCGCGGUAAUACGUAGGGGGCAAGCGUUGUCCGGAUUUAUUGGGUGUAAAGGGUGCUCAGGCGGAUUUGUAAGUCAGAGGUGAAAUCUCCCGGCUCAACCGGGAAACUGCCUUUGAUACUGCAAGCCUUGAGUUUGGAAGAAGAUGAUGGAAUAUCUGGUGUAGCAGUGAAAUGCGUAGAUAUCAGAUAGACACCAAUGGCGAAGGCAGUCAUCUGGUCCAUAACUGACGCUAAAGCACGAAAGGCGUGGGUAGCAAACAGGAUUAGAUACCCUGGUAGUCCACGCCCUAAACGAUGAAUACUAGACGUUGGGUCCGCAAGGAUUCCAGUGUCUGAGCUAACGCAUUAAGUAUUCCACCUGGGAAGUACGAUCGCAAGGUUGAAACUCAAAGGAAUUGACGGGGGCCCGCACAAGCAGUGGAGCAUGUGGUUUAAUUCGAUGCAACGCGAAGAACCUUACCUAGGCUUGAAAAGCAGGCUAAACUUGAUGAAAGUCAAGGUGCGCAAGCAAGCUUGUACAGAUGCUGCAUGGCUGUCGUCAGCUCGUGCGUGAGGUGUUGGUUAAGUCCCGCAACGAGCGCAACCUGUUCUUAGUUGCCAUCAGGUAAUGCUGGGCACUCUAAGAAGACUGCCUACGCAAGUAGUGAGGAAGGUGGGGACGACGUCAAGUCCGCAUGGCUCUUACGCCUAGGGCAACACACGUGCUACAAUGGCUACUACAAAGGGCUGCAAUACCGCGAGGUGGAGCCAAUCCCUAAAAAGUAGUCUCAGUUCGGAUUGGAGUCUGCAACUCGACUCUAUGAAGCUGGAAUUGCUAGUAAUCGCGUAUCAGAAACGACGCGGUGAAUACGUUCCCGGGCCUUGUACACACCGCCCGUCAAGACCAUGGAAGCUGGGGGUACCCGAAGUCACCUUUAAUAAGUGCCUAAGGUAAAACCAGUGACUGGGGCUAAGUCGUAACAAGGUAGCCGU